rnacentral:rRNA from 1 species
GUGAGGAAUAUUGGUCAAUGGACGGAAGUCUGAACCAGCCAUGCCGCGUGCAGGAAUAAGGUCCUAUGGAUUGUAAACUGCUUUUAUUCGGGAAUAAACCUCUUUACGUGUAGGGAGCUGAAGGUACCGAAGGAAUAAGCACCGGCUAACUCCGUGCCAGCAGCCGCGGUAAUACGGAGGGUGCAAGCGUUAUCCGGAAUCAUUGGGUUUAAAGGGUCCGCAGGCGGGCUAUCAAGUCAGAGGUGAAAUCCCACAGCUUAACUGUGGAAUUGCCUUUGAAACUGAUGGUCUUGAAUUAAGUGGGCGUUGGCGGAAUAUGACAUGUAGCGGUGAAAUGCAUAGAUAUGUCAUGGAACACCGAAAGCGAAGGCAGCUAACGAUACUUAUAUUGACGCUCAUGGACGAAAGCGUGGGUAGCGAACAGGAUUAGAAACCCUGGUAGUCC